rnacentral:rRNA from 1 species
AUUGAACGCUGGCGGCAGGCUUAACACAUGCAAGUCGAGCGGAGAUGAGGUGCUUGCACCUUAUCUUAGCGGCGGACGGGUGAGUAAUGCUUAGGAAUCUGCCUAUUAGUGGGGGACAACAUUCCGAAAGGAAUGCUAAUACCGCAUACGCCCUACGGGGGAAAGCAGGGGAUCUUCGGACCUUGCGCUAAUAGAUGAGCCUAAGUCGGAUUAGCUAGUUGGUGGGGUAAAGGCCUACCAAGGCGACGAUCUGUAGCGGGUCGGAGAGGAUGAUCCGCCACACUGGGACUGAGACACGGCCCAGACUCCUACGGGAGGAAGCAGUGGGGAAUAUUGGACAAUGGGCGGAAGCCUGAUCCAGCCAUGCCGCGUGUGUGAAGAAGGCCUUCGGGUUGUAAAGCACUUUCAGCGAGGAGGAAAGGUGGUGUGUUAAUAGCACAUCAUUUUGACGUUACUCGCAGAAGAAGCACCGGCUAACUCUGUGCCAGCAGCCGCCGUAAGAC